GAGGGAGGCAUGACAGCAGAAAGAACUGCUAAUUCUUAUCCACCCCGGUUAAAUCCCGAGGCUCUCUCG
rnacentral:tRNA from 1 species